rnacentral:sRNA from 1 species
GAUCUGGUAAAGACGCUUACGGGCCUGC